ensembl:lncRNA
GCGUCAGAGGGAACCCGGCCAUACAAGGCCGUUCCGUGCUGGCUCGCAGCGCCUUCUGCACACACGCAGACAAAGGCGUCCUUAGAGAAAGCCGGGGUUUGAGGCCAGGCCCCCCUGCAGUACUUCCUGGGUAGCCAUGGGCGUGUGAGAGAUGGUCACUAGGUGAGCAGGGCAGGCUGUUUGGUCCCCUGGAGUCUCGUGUUCACGUCUCAGAUGGGGAGCUGACCUUGUAGGACCGAGCGCGCCAGUGUGGGGGCUGGCACACCCCCACCUGCUAGAAUCAAGCUCUGUGCCCUGUGACCUUCACCUCACCUCACUGCUACCCCUCCGCUUAACACCACAUUGAACAAUUCCAGAAGCUUACAAAUAUAUUCCACACGGUUUGCUACAGUGCCAGCUUUCCCUCCAGGCAUCCAUUGAAACGGAGCACUGGAAGUGUCCCCAAGGAAACCAGCAUAUCACAAU